UUUUAUGAUCCCAGGCUGGUUCAAAAAGUUAAAUAUUAGCC
rnacentral:rRNA from 1 species